UACGGAGGGAGCUAGCGUUGUUCGGAAUUACUGGGCGUAAAGCGCGCGUAGGCGGCUUUGUAAGUUAGAGGUGAAAGCCCGGGGCUCAACCCCGGAACAGCCUUUAAGACUGCAUCGCUAGAAUCCGGGAGAGGUGAGUGGAAUUCCGAGUGUAGAGGUGAAAUGCGUAGAGAUCGGGAAGAACAUCGGUGGCGAAAGCGCUCUACUGGACCACAACUGACACUCAGGGACGAAAGCUAGGGGAGCGAAUGGG
rnacentral:rRNA from 1 species